UGAGGUCAGCUGCUCUGACAAUGUUGCACUACUGUACCAUCCAUUCUAGCAGUGCAAUAGUAUUGUCAUAGCAUUUGGCCUCAGC
rnacentral:pre_miRNA from 12 species